UUUUACCUGCGGUAUUCGUGAUAUUAUUUAUGUUUCUGAACUAAAUUAAAAUAGGGAAUCAAGCCAUUUGUGGCACAUAAGCCGGACAUGAUCCGGAUCUGUAAAGCAAACAAGGUAGGUACCCACCUUUGUAAAAGGUUCCGGAAAACGAUAGUACACGGUACUGCAGGAUUAUU
rnacentral:other from 1 species